rnacentral:tRNA from 1 species
UCCCUGGUGGCUCAGAUGGUAAAGCGUCUGCCUACAAUGUGGAAGACCUGGGUUCAAUCCCUGGAUUGGGAA